rnacentral:rRNA from 1 species
UACAUGGGGUGCAAACGUUGCUCGGAAUUAUUGGGCGUAAAGCGCACGUAGGCGGUCUACUAAGUCGGAUGUGAAAGCCCUCGGCUUAACCGAGGAAGUGCAUCCGAUACUGGCAGGCUAGAGUACAGAAGAGGGUCGCGGAAUUCCCGGUGUAGAGGUGAAAUUCGUAGAUAUCGGGAGGAACACCGGUGGCGAAGGCGGCGACCUGGGCUGAUACUGACGCUGAGGUGCGAAAGCGUGGGGAGCAAACAGG